UACCAGUACUAUUUUAAAAUUCAAAUUUCUGUGUUGUUCUGUAUUUAACAUUCAUAGUGUUAACGUUUAACACUAUACACUAGUGUUAAGUAAAUCAACACUGCUGCGUGUUAAAUUUCAAUUACUGAGAGUGUUGAUUCAACCCUAUCAUGAAUAACACUUUCAAAAGUGUCAUUUUAACACAAUCAAGAGUGGUCCAAUAUAGACACUUUCAAAGUGUUGAAUUCAGCUCUCUAGGAGUUGAAUUAACACUUCCAAAUUUGUUGUGUGCAGUAGAGGACAGAUAAUCAAGCUGUCUCCCAGUGUUCCCAUUACAAACUACAAAAAUACACCAGUCAGUCAGAAACAACAAAUCAUAGCCAGGAGGAAGCAUAGUCACCGAUGACAGCAGAUAAAUGCAUUUCCUGGAACUAUAAGGCGUUUCUUUGCCGUUGGCACAUUAUAUGAGGUUGAUUGACAUCGCUAAGACCCGCCUCCUGACUCUGAUUGGUUGUUUUUGGUCAUUUGCUCAGGCUGGAGGUGAGGGAUUUUUUUCAGAUUGUCUGUUUCAUGACAUAUUGUCACAACAUGGUGACAGUUCUAACAAAUGUGGAAAAAUUUUUUUUGUAAAAGUUGCAUACAGCAGCUUUAAGGUUACAUAGGGAUCACAGACGUAAAACAGACUUUAUACAGGUGAGCAUAAUGAGCAAUCAGCCAGAGAGGCAGGGACAGGAAGCAUCAGCUACAAGGCAGAACUGAAAUCUAUACUUUCAGUAUGUUUUAGUUCAUUUUCAAAAUGCCUGGUAUAGUUCCAUUUAGCUAUAGUGUUUUUCCUCAUCAAUUACAGUUUUUAAUUUUUAUUAUUAUUUCAGUGAACAAAUAUGUUUCUUCAAUUUCAAUUUGUGUUAUUUAGUUAGUUUUAGUUAACUGUAAUAGCCUUGGUGUCUGGUGCUCAUUGUCUGUCUGUCCUGAGGGGGCGAACCGCGGCGCAUUUAGGGUGGGUUCCCAGCCAGAGAGGGUCUGUCAAUAUGACCGUAUGGUGUUAGUUAGAAAAGGUUAAGCACGGUACAAGUGCUGCCGGCAUUGUGCGAAAACGAGACGACAUGUCAGCAGGUGCAGAAAACAAUACGGAAGUGUUUGAUGUAACGCGAGACGGCAGAGGGACGACAGAUAUUGCUCAACGCGACCCAGUUCCAUUUAAUGCUGUCAGACCUGCCCUGCAGAGAGGUUACUCAGGAUUAAUGCCGCUGUACAUUCAGACCGCCCUCUCCUUACGUCCUAAACUGAUUAUGAAUGAAGGAGACAGACUCCAGCGCAGAUGGGAGAGAGAGAGCAAAGCGUGAUUCAAUAUACCCAUUUGCUGAUGAUGUAAUAUGAUGUUGGUGAAGAUGAGGGAAUAAAACUUGCUCAAUCUCAGCACAUUCCAUAUUCUCUCAUUUCAUCAUUUUACUCAGUACCCAGCAAUCCACUUUUCAGUUUAAAGCCACUGUUUUUUUUUUCUUGUCUUCCCGUUUCAUUUCUUACGUAGAGAUCCAGUCAGUUGACUAUUAGGAAAUCAAGUGAAAUUUCUGUUUUUUGAUGUCUUUCUAAGUUUAUUUUCAGAUGAAGUCUUUGAGUCGGGGCAGACUGAUCUACAGUAGCUUUCAAAGUAUCGAUUGGCCUUGAACUUCUCUACAUGUGGCCCCAUGGCAACAGCAGACUUCUGUUUUAUUAGGAUUUUUAUGUGAUGGAUCAACAGCAAUUAUGAAGUGAAAGGGGUAGAAAUAUCCAUGAUUGGUUUUUUUUUAAACAGAAAUGUGAAAAAAAUGUGGUGUGUACAGUAUUAUUAUUAUUAUUCUGCCUCCCCGAGUUAACAGAAGCAUACUUAGGCUCUGUUUCGACCACACCAGAACAGCAAAACCGAAAUGUUUUGUCGCAUUUUGUUUCUCGUUUACAUGGCGACAGCAUUUUGGACAAACAAAAACACAAUGGCAUAAAGUGAAACCUUUUUAGAAACAUGACCGAAAACGAUGACGUUCUUCACGCCAUCUUGUGUUUGUGUACUCAUCCCCAGUUUUCACCAUGUCAGGUCUCUGUGUUCUGAAUGUUCUGCUUCACCUCUCCAGAUUAUCUGCCGUUAAAGUAAAACAUAUGGAACAUUUAUGCCCUAUGUGAACUGAUCUGCCAUAAAUGACAUGUGGCAGAUCAGCUGAGUACAUCAGUCAGAGUAAACACACAAAGUUCUUCUUUCCUCUCCACACUCUGGACAGUCACCUCCGAAGCAGCCAACACUGAGGUCAUGGUUGAAAUACCUUGGAAUAGUACGGGAAUGAUAAACCUUCAACAGAUUUAUGUGCCACAACUUUGAAGAUUUCCUGUUGCCUGGAGUCUCAAAGAGACAGUUUAACUCUGACACGUUGCGCAACCCUGUAAAAGCACCUGAAAAGGUUGAAGUCACAAGUGGCAAAAGAGCAAGGACAUGUUCAGUAGAACUAAACUCAUUCACCUCAGUCAAUGUUUCAUUUUAAGACAAUUCCAGCUCUGUACAGCCUGAAUCCAUUUACAUAGUCAAGAAGGGUUUGAGGCGUUUCCUCAGGCAAACAGUCAUCUUUCACCACUGAAGAAGUCAGAAUCUCAAUAAGGCAAUGCAAUAGCUCUUACAAACAGUUUUAAAGUUUACCAACCCCCCUCUGAAGACUAAAUCUCACACCUGGUGUUUUGGGGUUUCACCCUAAAAUAGCUACUGUCCCUUUAAGCCUUGCCGAAAUGUUCAGAAACAGGAAGUGAUAUAACUAGACCAGGGAUAAGCCCAGGAAAAACCAGCAAGAAGACAGCAGCUGCACAUGGGUCCAUGCUGUCCUGUGGUUCUAGACCUCAUAAAGGCCUCUGAGUAGGAUGAUUUACUAGAAGUAUAUCUUUGUUAUUUUUGCAUUUUGACUCAUUUAUGUUUGUAAUUAGCAGAUAUUAGGCAGCAUACUAGGGAAUUCAGUCAAACAGAUAACCUGUAAAUGUAUUUAGUCAAUUUACCUGAAUUAUCUAAUUUGAAUCGUAUGUGAAGAUUAUAUCUGUGUUGUAGGAAUAUUCUUUGAUGACAAGGCAUUAAACUUCAAAGGUCACAUUGGUGUUUUAUGUAUAAUACUAGCAGAUAGCUUAGGUCAAAUACCUUUGCUCAGACAAGCUUGUAUUUAAUGUACUGAACCUACCAUGUAUUUGUGAUUCUCUUUAUCUGUUUAUCAGUUUCACACUGUUCGCUCUCAAGUUCAACUGGGUGGGUGUCCUGGAUUUAUUGUGUGGAGGUGUUUAGCUUGCUGGUUAGCCGAAUGAAGUUUCUACAAGGCCUGUAAACCUGGCAAAUUCUGAAAAAUUCCAGCAACAUGGGUGGAGCCAGAAGACAGCAGAAUGGGAAGCAGGGAGAUGGGCCGUUAAUUGCACUCAUCGGCAGAUGAUAAAUACUGACGUCUAGCCAGUCACUGACKGCUUGUUGGCCCUCCGGACAAGACCGGAACGAGCAGCAUUGGUCCACACUUCUCUCUGACUGGCUAGCUUGAUCUCCUGGAGCGUCGCUUGGUUAUCAAAUAAAUUAUUGUUUCUAUAGA